rnacentral:rRNA from 1 species
CCCGCUGAACUUAAGCAUAUCAAUAAGCGGAGGAAAAGAAACUAACAAGGAUUCCCCUAGUAACGGCGAGUGAAGCGGGAUGAGCUCAAAUUUAAAAUCUGGCUGGUUUACUAGUCUGAAUUGUAGUUUAAAGAAGCGUUUUCGGUGGCAGCCUGGGUAUAAAUCCUUUGGAACAGGGUAUCAUAGAGGGUGAGAAUCCCGUCUUUGACUCAGUGCAUGCUACUAUGUGAUACGUUUUCAAAGAGUCGAGUUGUUUGGGAAUGCAGCUCAAAAUGGGUGGUAAAUUUCAUCUAAAGCUAAGUAUUGGCGAGAGACCGAUAGCGAACAAGUACCGUGAGGGAAAGAUGAAAAGAACUUUGAAAAGAGAGUUAAACAGUGCGUGAAAUUGUUGAAAGGGAAACGCUUGACACCAGUCAUGCGAGCGGAAAAUCAGUCUUUUGCAGUGGGGAGUUGUGUGGGUUCGGACCGCAAGGCCGGCCUGCGCUGCAUCUCUGCUGUAAGUGAUGCACUUUUUCGUUUGCAGGCCAACAUCAGUUCCUUCUGCUGGACAAAACUCUUGAGAAGGUGGCAGCUUAGGCUGUGUUAUAGCUCUUGAGCGAUACAGUGGAGGGGACUGAGGUUUUCGCAGCGCGUGCUUUCGGGCAAGGCUGAUUGGGUGCUAUGGGAUCGUUCGGUGUACAAUGCAUGCAUUUUGCGCCGUGUCUUUUCUAUACUCGCUCAACUCGGCUCUUCCGCGCUUAGGAUGUUGGCUUAAUGGUUUUAAUCGACCCGUCUUGAAACACGG